rnacentral:rRNA from 1 species
UGCUGCCUCCCGUAGGAGUCUGGACCGUGUCUCAGUUCCAGUGUGACUGAUCAUCCUCUCAGACCAGUUACGGAUCGUCGCCUUGGUAGGCCUUUACCCCACCAACUAGCUAAUCCGACCUAGGCUCAUCUGAUAGCGUGAGGCCCGAAGAUCCCCCACUUUCUCCCUCAGGACGUAUGCGGUAUUAGCGCCCGUUUCCGGACGUUAUCCCCCACUACCAGGCAGAUUCCUAGGCAUUACUCACCCGCCCGCCGCUGAAUCCAGGAGCAAGCUCCCUUCAUCCGCUCGACUUGCAUGUGUUAGGCCUGCCGCCAGCGUUCAAUCUGAGCCAGGAUCAACUCUAAUCGAAUUCCG